rnacentral:rRNA from 1 species
GUGGGGAAUAUUGGACAAUGGGGGCAACCCUGAUCCAGCCAUGCCGCGUGUGUGAAGAAGGCCUUUUGGUUGUAAAGCACUUUAAGCGAGGAGGAGGCUUACCUGGUUAAUACCUGGGAUAAGUGGACGUUACUCGCAGAAUAAGCACCGGCUAACUCUGUGCCAGCAGCCGCGGUAAUACAGAGGGUGCAAGCGUUAAUCGGAUUUACUGCGCGUAAAGCGCGCGUAGGUGGCUAAUUAAGUCAAAUGUGAAAUCCCCGAGCUUAACUUGGGAAUUGCAUACGAUAAUGGUUGGCUAGAGUAUGGGAGAGGAUGGUAGAAUUCCAGGUGUAGCGGUGAAAUGCGUAGAGAUCUGGAGGAAUACCGAUGGCGAAGGCAGCCAUCUGGCCUAAUACUGACACUGAGGUGCGAAAGCAUGGGGAGCAAACAGGAUUAGAAACCCUUGUAGUCC